rnacentral:rRNA from 1 species
UACGAAGGGGGCUAGCGUUGCUCGGAAUCACUGGGCGUAAAGGGCGCGUAGGCGGAUCUUUAAGUCGGGGGUGAAAGCCUGUGGCUCAACCACAGAAUUGCCCUUCGAUACUGCAUGGCUUGAGACCGGAAGAGGUAAGUGGAACUGCGAGUGUAGAGGUGAAAUUCGUAGAUAUUCGCAAGAACACCAGUGGCGAAGGCGGCUUACUGGUCCGGUUCUGACGCUGAGGCGCGAAAGCGUGGGGAGCAAACAGG